rnacentral:tRNA from 1 species
GCUAAUGUAGCAAAAUCCGGCUUUGCCAAAGACCUAAACUCUUUUUAUAGAAGUUCAAAUCUUCUCAUUUGCU